AUUGAACGCUGGCGGAAUGCUUUACACAUGCAAGUCGAACGGCAGCACGGACUUCGGUCUGGUGGCGAGUGGCGAACGGGUGAGUAAUGUAUCGGAACGUGCCCAGUCGUGGGGGAUAACGUAGUGAAAAUUACGCUAAUACCGCAUACGAUCUAUGGAUGAAAGCGGGGGAUCGCAAGACCUCGCGCGAUUGGAGCGGCCGACAUCAGAUUAGGUAGUUGGUGGGGUAAAGGCCCACCAAGCCAACGAUCUGUAGCUGGUCUGAGAGGACGACCAGCCACACUGGAGCUGAGACACGGUCCAGACUCCUACGGGAGGCAGCAGUGGGGAAUUUUGGACAAUGGGCGAAAGCCUGAUCCAGCCAUUCCGCGUGCAGGAUGAAGGCCCUCGGGUUGUAAACUGCUUUUGUACAGAACGAAAAGGUUUCUACUAAUACUAGGAGCUCAUGACGGUACUGUAAGAAUAAGCACCGGCUAACUACGUGCCAGCCGCCGCGGUAA
rnacentral:rRNA from 1 species